rnacentral:tRNA from 1 species
GGCUGUUUUGUAUAGUCAACCUCGUUCGCAUCGAGGGGGUCAGGGGUUCAAAUCCCCUCAGCUCCA